UACAGCGGGAAGCCACCUGGCGACAGGGCGCGGAACCCGAAAACCUGUCUCAGUUCGGAUUGGAGUCUGCAACCCGACUCCAUGAAGCUGGAUUCGCUAGUAAUCGCGCAUCAGCCACGGCGCGGUGAAUACGUUCCCGGGCCUUGUACACACCGCCCGUCAAGCCAUGGAAGCCGGGAGUGCCUGAAGUGCGUGACCGCAAGGAGCGUCCUAAGGCAAUACCGGUGACUGGGGCUAAGUCGUAACAAGGUAGC
rnacentral:rRNA from 1 species